CAGUAGCCACGGUAAUACGUAGGUGGCAAGCGUUGUCCGGAAUUAUUGGGCGUAAAGGGCUCGCAGGCGGUUUCUUAAGUCUGAUGUGAAAGCCCCCGGCUCAACCGGGGAGGGUCAUUGGAAACUGGUUGACUUGAGUGCAGAAGAGGAGAGUGGAAUUCCACGUGUAGCGGUGAAAUGCGUAGAGAUGUGGAGGAACACCAAUGGCGAAGGCGACUCUCUGGUCUGUAACUGACGCUGAGGAGCGAAAGCGUGGGGAGCGAACAGGAUUAGAUACCCCCGUAGUCCCUGUCUCUUAUAC
rnacentral:rRNA from 1 species